ACCAUUCCGCAUUACUUUGUUUUUCUAUCAACGUGAUUUUCUUUCCCACUAGCCUGUGAUCAAUGUGCUUGCAGAGACUUCCUUUCGUCUUUGGACGCCCAGACCCCUGCACGGCGCCUUGGUGGCGCCCGGCAGGAGCUCAUCUGUAUGGCAAAGAAAUGAGUGAAGAGAACUCAGUGACAGUGGCAUCCAGAAGUCCAAGAGAGGAGAGACUUUCAAGCAGGGAGGGUCCCACUGUCAAAUUUAACUGGUGGUCAUAACAUGAUGAGGACCAAAGGGUCUGCAGGCCGUGGCCGAGGAGAGGUCAGUCGUACCUUGUUAAAAGCAAUGCGGAUCCUCUUCAAGUCUUGCCGGGGCACCUGACCUCUAGGCCCUGAAGGCCAGGGAGACACUGGUCAAAGUCUGAGAAGUACGGGGCCCGACAGGAGACACCAGUCACGGUUACAUCCUCACGGAGACGCCAGCGGUCUGCCUAGCCCAGCAAAGCCUUCGGGACUAUUUGGUUGUAGAGAGGUGGGGGGAAGGGGCGGCCACGCCUGUGCCAGCUCUCUCCUCACCCCUCUCCCCGCGGAUCAGGACUUUCCUGCAACUCCUUCAACCACGCCAGCAAAAGGGCAAGAGAGCAAGAUAACAUCUGGCCCAGUCUUUCAUGGCUGGAGGCAGAGGUGGUCCCAAGGGUCUUGUCCCCUGGAUCCUUCCGGCCUGGGCCCUGUGCUAAAGAAGCUACAGCCAGCAGCCCGUGCCUUCCACCUUUCUGUCCUUGGGCCAUCUGUGCUUGAGCUUCUCCACCUGCUGACUCCCGUCUGCUCACGGGCUCAACCAAGCACGCAGGAACUGAGCCCUUACUCUGUGCUGACGCUGAGCUAGUCACUGGGAAUUGCAAGAAGAGAGGGGAAGGCUCCUACCCUCAAGGGGCUGAGUGUACUUGGGAGAACGUGCAGGUGAGCAGGUAUUUAUAUACAGUCGGGAUAGAUGUCAUGCUAGAGGUAGGCACGGGGGACCCGGAGAGGCCAGAAGAGGGCGUCUGUUUUAGCCUGGGCCUUCAGGAGAGUCUUUCCCAUGGUGGUGAUGACAUUGGGGAGGGGCAAUGGGAGCCAGCUAGGGCGAGGUAGGUGGGGUAGGUGGCAGAGACGAGGGCAAUGCGGUAAGGAGCUUGCGGGAGCCAGUUUACGGGGGUGAGGAGCCCUCGGGGCGGUGCGGGGAGACUCUAGAAGCAGCGUGCAGCGGCCUGGAGUCCAAGAUCUGAGAUGUGGCGACGCGGCAGGAGGCCAAGGUCAUCAGGAAGCAAGAGAACGUGAAAGGCCUCGUCCACCAGGGCUGUGAGCCGAGGCUUUGCCUUGUAGGGGACGGGGGACCUCAGAAGGGUCUAAAGCACGGCUGUGAGCAUCAUCGGCGUUGGCUCUUAAGUAGCUCACGGUGGCCUCCCACCCUUCUUUCUCCCGUGUCCUCUCGUCUCCGCAUCUUGUGACCCCAAAGCCGCAUGUGAUUAUUGUGGUGAACCCUAAAAACAGGAAAUGACUGGGGGCUGAUAUUCACACAUUCACAGUUGGCCCAGCUGUCGGCAGGCAGGCCAGUCUGCCGGUGAAUAUUAUGGGCCUUUCUCUACCGGGGUCCCUGCUCCUGCUUGGUCUUUUCGUGGAGCAAGCCCAUCUGGGAGCUUUUCUCUCUCCAGGCCAGGCUCUGGGUGGCCCCUGUCCACAGGGACAUCUCCCAGGCAUAUGGCAAAAUAAUGGGGUUGUUCCCGGGGAAUCAAAGCAUACGAAGCGGGGCCCCUGGGUGGCUCAGCCGUUAAGCGUCUGACUUCUGCUCGGGUCAGGAUCUCGUGGUCCAUGAGUUCGCGCCCCGCUUUGGGUGAGCCCUGCUUUUCUCCCCACCCCACCCCUGCCCCUCAUGGGAUUCUCUCUCUUUCUCUGCUCCCCUCGCUCACUUGUGCCCACCCUCUCUCAAAAUAGAUAGUGGCCUUUCUCUCAAGGCCACUGACUUGGCCUUGAAAGCUCAAAGCUCUCCAACAGACGUGGGCAGAUUUGGCCUCUGUCUCUCCCUGUGCGUACUCAGGGUGGUGAACCACCUCGGUGUCAGUGCCUCGUGCCUUCUGCCCGGUGAAGGGAGCGCCCAGGGUAGCUCUGCAGUCUUCCCUUGGUGAUUUUUGUAGACGCAGCGCAGCUGGGCCGGCCCCGUGUCGCACCGAGCUCCAGGAUCGGUGACAAUGGACAAUGCAUCUUCAUCCUGACUUGUGUGGCAGAAAGCAGAGGAACCUCUGUGGCCUACAGCCGGAUGCCUCUGGGACCCCGGACCGCUGUGUCCCACAGAGGGUCUGUCCUCAGUAUCUCCUUGAGGCCCCGGGGACAGUGCUGUGGCCUUCACCUGCACGGUCCAGGACGCAGUCAGUAACAGCGGCUCCCUCCCCGUCUCAGCGCCGCCCUUGUGUGCAGGGCCAGGGAUCCUGGGAGGGGACACGGUCGGGGAGACAGUGUUCGGUAGGUAUCCCUGGGGAGUCGGCCACUCGGCCCCUGGAAGUCCCAGCCGGGCAGGAAGUGGAAAAGGUUACCUGGAGCUCUGGACAGCUUGUCGCUGUUUUGCAACCAGGACCCGGAGGCAAACCAAUCCUGGCUGCUGGGACUUAGGGACCUUAGAGCGAACGACUGUGUGUCCUCUCUGCAGAUCAGGUCCCCAAGGCUGCAGGGCCCUGGCCCCUCCGGAGCCUGGAUAACUCUGCCUAUUUGUCAACGCCACCAAGGAUUUCACCCUGCGGGUCUGUGGUGGGGGGGGGGGGGGCGCGGAGGGCUCACAUCUGAACUUUGACCUUUCUGCUCUGCCCUGCCUGACCAGGCCAGAGUCUCCUCAGAGCUCAAACCUAACUUUCGCGCACAGAGAAGCUGCAGCAGCCCGAUAUCGCUGCCGGUUCCCGGAUGGCGAAGGGUGGGGCCCGCUGUGUCCCCCUGACGGGCUCCCUGUGACAGGCCGGAGAGGAUGUGCGGUAUAGUCGGCCCCGCUCGGCCGGGUGGCGGGGGUGGGGGACCACUCUCACGUCACCUGGACUUCUGGGGUCGGCGACAGCUAUCGCUGCACGGCCAGGAACCGGUCAGUCAGAGCUCGGGCUCAGUCCCCACGGGGCCCCUCUGCGCAGGUAACCCCCUCCUGUGAGCCCCCUCCUUGACAGCCUGGGCCUAGGUCCUUAGCAUCCCCACCUGGCUUGCUGGGGACUCCAGGGCUGGUCGAGGAAAAGGCGGGCGGGAUCACUGAGAGCAGUGAGUGUCUCUGGGGUGGCAGGAAGGGACGGUUCUGGUGCCAUCACCCCAGGGCCUGCUGUCCAGCUUCUGUCUGGCUGCCCCAGACCCUGCGCUUGGCUCACUCCUGGGUCUCCCCCAGCCCACCCGCUCCUGCAGACCCACUGAGGAGGAGCCCCAGACCUUGGCCGUGUCCUCAGAGAAGCCUGGAGCUGCUCUGAGAGGGAGAUCCAGGCCGUGGCUCCUGUGGCAUCCAGGACGGCCUCUCCCGGUGUCCACCGGCCGCUGCGGGAAACCGCUUCGGUCCAAACACAUUCUGUCCCUCUUCCCUCUUCUUGGCCGACUUCUGGACGUCUCUCUGUUCCCUGUCUCUGAGUCCCAUGCUCCCCCGCACUGAGCCAGCCAGGCGCCCCCCGAGCAUUUAGAAGGUGCCUGUGUUGUUGGAGGCUUCGAGGAGAGGUCUGGAUACAUCGCCACCCCUCUGGGAGCUCAGUCACAAUUGUUACAGUUCGCCCCUGACCCCACGAAAUGACUUGAGCGGGGACGGAGCGAGUUGUACGAGAGCCUUUGUCCGUGUCUGGCUUCUCCAUUGAAUGAGACCAAUGCUCAUUCUUAGUUCCUUCUGUGUCUCCAAUAUACAGCAUGGAAUAGGCGUGAAACGUGCGACUCUGAGGUGUAUUUAGGGAGCAGCCUGUGCUGGGUGUGACAGGACCCAAGGACACAUGGUCACGGGUUGCAGACGCUAACAUUCUCCCGGCCCUUCCAGGGCGUCCGGAGGGCAGUCCACCUCCUUCCCCCUGAUUUGGCUUCCUUAAGGGGCCUCCAGCCCACCCACACUUCUGACUUCUUUUCUUGGAAAUCCCUUCCCCUGUCUGCCUGUCUUCCAUUUCUUCUCUUUCCUUCCUUUUACGCCAGUUCCUAACCUGUGGUCAUUGUUUCAUUCAGCCUCCUUCCUACUUUGCUCCUUGAAGAAAGAAUUUCUUCUCUUUUUGGUCCUGGGACCUUUGCUGAUUGGAUACAUUCGACCUUGACACGUGGAGAAGUCAAGAGAAAUAAUGUGAGGAGGGGGGUCACCCUGUGAGACACAGACAUGAGUGCCACCUGCUGCCAACAUCUCCCGGUGAGAGAGGGACACCAAUCCCGAGUAAGACAUAAACCCUAUUUCAUUUGCAAACGGAGUUCGGAAUCGCCAACAAGCUGUGACAUAGCUUCUG